rnacentral:lncRNA from 1 species
AUGGAGGAAAUCCCUGCCCUGAAUUCCCGACCCAAGCUGAUCUCGAUGGGCUUUUCCUCCGUUCUGAGACUGGAAAACAUCCAUCUCCCAUGGUCAUGUGCUGAGAGAUUGCUGUCAUCAGCAGAUACGAGUAUUGCUUUAGGCCAGCUGACCACUACCCCAGCCCCGAUUGCAUCAACCCCACUGCCUCCCAGUGCCACCACGACCUCUGCCUCCACACCCCCAGCUGCUGGGGGGGUGGCCACCACCGCAGACCUCGGCACGGCCACAGCUGUGCCAUCGGCAGACCCCAGCACAAACACAUUUGCUCCAGCUCUGCCCACCACCCUGCCGGUGACUGCGACCAUCCCUGGGAUCACGACCACCUCUCACGCACCCACAGCCGCAUCCACCGGUGCCUCGGCCACCCCUCCAGAUGUCACCACGUCUCCUGGGGAUCCACCAACAGCUCCGUCCCUCACCACCGCUGUGCCCUCCAACUGCAGCAGAGUGAACGUGACAGCGUGUGCCCCUUGCUCCCCAGGGACGUUUCCCAAUGAUGAUGCCUGGAGUUGCUCGUGCUGCACAGGAGGCUCGUGCACGGACCCUGGUGCCUGCACUCCCUGCCCAGUGGGGCACUACCAGCCCGCGUGGGGACAGCAGCAGUGCCUGCCGUGUCCGCGGGGACACUACGCCAACACCACGAGGAGCACCGCGUGCUCGCCCUGCCCACC